CGCGGGGUGGAGCAGUGGCAGCUCGUCGGGCUCAUAACCCGAAGGUCGCAGGUUCAAAUCCUGUCCCCGCAACCA
rnacentral:tRNA from 1 species